rnacentral:rRNA from 1 species
UACGGAGGGUGCAAGCGUUAUCCGGAUUCACUGGGUUUAAAGGGUGCGUAGGCGGGUAUGUAAGUCAGCGGUGAAAUCCCCGAGCUUAACUUGGGAACUGCCGUUGAUACUAUAUAUCUUGAAUGUUGUGGAGGUUAGCGGAAUAUGUCAUGUAGCGGUGAAAUGCUUAGAUAUGACAUAGAACACCCAUUGCGAAGGCAGCUAACUACGCAAAUAUUGACGCUGAGGCACGAAAGCGUGGGGAUCAAACAGG